AGACAAACCUUUCGAGGAAAAAUCAUGGUCAGUAUCUCCAUGGAGUCAAUGUUUUCCUGACUGUCAUCGUGGUAUAAGGAACAGAACAGUAGUUUGUAUGACAGUGUCUACUCGUAUGAUAAUGGAUGGUUGUAUUCCUCCUCCACCUCCAAAUGAAGAAACAUGUCAUCAAAGAGGACCCUGCACACAAUGGGUACCUGGACCUUGUGUUCAAAGUCUUGUGGAGUUGGUUAUCAAGUUCGCAGGAUCAAAUGUCAAGCAACAUAUGAUAGUAGUAUCACAUUAAAUGAUGCAAAGUGUUUGACAGCACGUCCUCAUGUCUUUAGAUACUGUAACAUUCAUGACUGCCCAUGUAAUGAGUCAAAUUUUUGCAAGCUACUUGUCAAAACUGGAUUGUGUUGGAGAGCUCAGUAUCAAAGAAUUUGUCGCUGCACUUGUGGAUAUGCUCUGUAGGG